rnacentral:piRNA from 1 species
UGGGCUGCGGUGGCCAGGGCCGUGAGUC